CUCUUUCUCCCGGCGCUCCUCCUCCGCAUCCCUCACCCCUCGUCCCUCCCCCACGCGCCGGGAUCGGACAGACAGGGUUCUCAAGGAUGUGGUGAAAACCUGCAUGUGUUUCCUGUCCGUGAUCCAAUGAUAUAUACAUGUAUCCUGUCACAUAAUGAAGGAUGCACCUUGCCACCAUAAUGUCUACAGUUAAAGAAGCCUGAAGUGAAAGUCAGUUAAAGGUCAUUCCCACCACAACUCUGCAAGGCAAGACUGAAUCCUCCUUGGUUUUCUACUUGGCUGCAGUGGGAAAAAAUGUUCUAAGUUGUUAAUACUGCAGAUGAGUGGAGAAAACGUGACGGACAGCAACUAAGCAAUUGAAACAAAGCUGAGCAGACCAUGCCUCGUCAUGCGUAAAACCAUUAAUAUAAUUACAGCACCAGAGAUCAAAGGCAAGGUUUGGAGAAAUUUAUUCAACUGCUUUUAUAGAAAGGUAAGAUUUUAAUAUUUCAGUUUUGUAGAAAGUCUCACUUGAACAAUCUAAGGACUUCUUAUCAAGUGAAUCUGAAUCUAUUAAAAUGGCAUCAAAGACAGUAGAGAUAUAUUUGGUGGUAUUUGCUGAAAUAUAAUCGUGGAAGAGUACUAGCACCCAAGACUGUUGCUCAUGACAAACUAUGUUUUAUAAUAAUUGACAAACCUUAUUAAUUUAGAAAUAGCUAGCUAUUUGUUAAUUGUUCAUGAUGUUAUGAAUACCCAGAGUCCAAAUGAGAAAUGGUCAAGGACAUACACAAGAGGGAAAAAUUAUCUUAGUGCUGU